AGAGCGAACGCUGGCGGCAGGCCUAACACAUACAAGUCGAACGGACCCUUCGGGGUUAGUGGCGGACGGGUGAGUAACACGUGGGAACGUGCCUUUUGGUUCGGAAUAGCUCCUGGAAACGGGUGGUAAUGCCGAAUGUGCCCUUCGGGGGAAAGAUUUAUCGCCAUUAGAGCGGCCCGCGUCUGAUUAGCUAGUUGGUGAGGUAAUGGCUCACCAAGGCGACGAUCAGUAGCUGGUCUGAGAGGAUGACCAGCCACAUUGGGACUGAGACACGGCCCAAACUCCUACGGGAGGCAGCAGUGGGGAAUCUUGCGCAAUGGGCGAAAGCCUGACGCAGCCAUGCCGCGUGAAUGAUGAAGGUCUAGGAUUGUAAAUUCUUCACCGGGACGAUAAUGACGGUACCGGAGAAGAAGCCCGCUAACUCGUGCCAGCAGCCGC
rnacentral:rRNA from 1 species